GAUGAACGCUAGCUACAGGCUUAACACAUGCAAGUCGAGGGGCAGCAUGAACUUAGCUUGCUAAGUUUGAUGGCGACCGGCGCACGGGUGAGUAACACGUAUCCAACCUGCCGAUGACUCGGGGAUAGCCUUUCGAAAGAAAGAUUAAUACCCGAUGGCAUAGUUCUUCCGCAUGGUAGAACUAUUAAAGAACUUCGGUCAUCGAUGGGGAUGCGUUCCAUUAGGUUGUUGGCGGGGUAACGGCCCACCUAGCCUGCGAUGGAUAGGGGUUCUGAGAGGAAGGUCCCCCACAUUGGAACUGAGACACGGUCCAAAACUCCUACGGGAGGCAGCAGUGGGGAAUAUUGCGCAAAUGGGGGGCAACCCCUGACGCAGCCAUGCCGCGUGAAAUGAAG
rnacentral:rRNA from 1 species